UGAAAAUGAAAGAGAAUAUCAUAUAGUAUGUAUUGCUAAAAAAUAUAUGCUGAAUAUGAAGAAGGAAAAGAAUAUUUUAAUCAUAAAACUAAUAAUUUUAUUAGUAAAUUUUUUUUAAUUUUUUAAUUUAUUUUUUAAAAUUAAUAUUAAGAGAAAUACAUCUGCCCCAUAUGAUAUUUUAUAGUGCCUGCCCCAUAUGAUUUUUGUCCCCGGCCCC
rnacentral:lncRNA from 1 species